UGGGCCUCCAACAACCAUCCUCAACAAGGACCUUGUACACAUGUUUAAAGGGAUAUUCUGGCGUAAAAAUUAAUUUAGGGUCAAACACAUAGCCAUAGCACUAGCCAUCUUGUUUUUAGCGAGACCUCGACCAGUCCAUCAUCACCACACUUUCUAUCUUCCAGCAGCCGCUUGAGGGGGGUGGGGUGGGGAGGGGGGUGAUAAAGUAAUGAUCAUAAAUGUUCUUCCUUCAGCUGCGCUCCCCACCUCAAGCGGCUGCUGGAAGAGAGUAGGUGAGUUGUGUUUAGACUCUUUGCUUAAGAAAUCAGGCAAAGCUAAAAAGAUGUUUGGUGGCUAGUGCUGUGCCUGGGACCCUAUAUGUACUGUUGAUGAAGUUAGGUGCCGUUCUGAGCAUUGUUUGUGGCUAUAGAGGGACGUUGUGGUUGAGGUUUGUGUGUGGCUCCUUAGACUGCUGUGUAUUGCUAUCCUGUGGUCGUUACUAAAGUUGGUAUAACUGGAGAAGCAAGUGGUCGGCAACAUUCAGCUCUCGAGGGGGUGUCUAACUCAGUGUUUGACUCUAAAUUAAUUUUAUGCUGGAAUAUCCUUUUAACAACACUCAAGCUCCCAAAAUAUGCUGUGCUUUGUUAUUACUCUACAUGGACUAUCCUUCAGGUCAACAAGAUGUAAGCAAAAUGUUUGAAAACAUGGACGGCUAUAUAUACCUGAACACUCUCAGACCAGUCUUUGUUACAUUUGUGGCAGGAUGAAGCUGCAACCCAGAUCUACAACUGGUAAAGCAUGUCAAAAGAUAUUACAGGUGAUUAAUUACACAAGGAUAACUUGUAGUAGGUGACUGAAUUUUGGAUGAAAUAAUAGUGUGUUUUUGGUCACUCAGUAAAACAUGGCUGCUGUCCAUGGUGCUGUUUACUGCUGGCCUGUGCUGUGAAGGUAACACAAGAGCUGUCCGUGGUGCUGAUUCUGACAGCCCUCAUCAUUAUGCCUCAGUGUAACUAUGCUAUUCACAUGAGAAAGGAACCUGCUAAUUAUUCAAGUCAGCCUCAUAUUUUCCUAUCUGCAUGCUGAACAGUGGCUAAGUUUGAUGCAGCUCUCCACAUGAGGCUGCAAAAUCUGUAUUCAUAAUGGCUCCUUCAAUAGAGCAUAUACAAUGUGACGGAUAUUACAGUUUUUAUACUUGUUAGUUGCCAACUGUUUGGUCUGGUAAGUCAGUUAUUUAGCCUGCUCUGCUGAGCAGUAGCACUUUUCUUAUUGUCAGCUGUAUCCACUAUAUGAUGAGUAAUAAUAGCCCAGGGAAAAUCAUAAUGUGCUUCAGUGAGUCUCUGCACCUGGGGCCAAUUCUCUUUUCUCUGACAGCUACAAUAAGCAUAUAGAAUUAGUUUAAGUCAGCUUACAACCAUAUAUAAAUGUUGUGUGAGUGUGCACAUACCUGACCAAAGAAAAGCACCCUGACUGAGGUGAGACAAUCAUCCCAUGUCUUGUUAAAGGGUAAAGGAGUAUUUGUAUGACCUCAAAUGUUAUUAAGUGAUCUGCUGAUCACACUUUAACAGGGUCUUUCAUUGUUUUCAGAUGAUGAAUUCUUUAGCUUUGCUCAUAAUCCAAUAAGGUCAGAAGACAAUAUGCCCCCCCAUCUAUCCAUUUUCUUCCACUUAUCCAGGGUGAGGUUGCAGAGGCAGCUGCCCAAGCAAGAUGACACAGCAACAUUGUCAGCUCCUCCUGUGAGAUACAGAGGUGUUCUCAGGCCCAGUGGGAUUAACAGUCCGUCAAGCAGGGUCUGGGUCUACCCUUGAGCCUUCUGCACACCGAAAACACCUCCAAAUAGGAGCACCCAAAAAGCAAACUUAUCAAAUGCCCAAACCAUUUCAACUGGCUUCUUUCAAUGUGAUGUGAGGGAGCACCUGCUCCAUCUGAUAAUAAAUUAAAUCCCCAUCAUCCUUAGCCUUACAAUUUGUGUUUAUUUCUUUUUUUUUCUACUUUGCUCACACAACUAGGUGGUAAAUAUUGUCAACAUCAUACCUGCUAAAUAUUGACAUGUUAAGUCAAAUAAAUGCUGUGACUAAUAACAGCCCGCAGGAGUUGCCAGUCAGACUGUAGGAUCUAAGUCUCGUAAACAUUGUGAUAAAGAUGUAAAUAUUUAUUAGUGCCUUUCGAAUUGGAAGAAGAAAAUCUGACAGUUUGCAACUGUUUAUCAGAAUUAUCUCGUACUCAGCUCUUCCACUCCUGAGUUUCUGAGGAAACCAACAGGGAAAUUACAUCCAGUUAAAAGCGGAGUUAACUCAGUCUUAUAAACUAUAUAACGUGGUUUAUAUAAUUCAGGCUUUCAUCUGUAUUUAUGAGUUGAUGGUGCAUCAGCUUCAAUGUCCUCAGGUCCUGAUCAUACUCUGCAGUGAAGUGGAGUUGGAUUGUGGGGUAUAAAGUGUGAAAAAUGAAUGUUCAUUUCUGUUAGAUCCAUCUUUAUAACUUUAAGUGCUCUCUCUCUCUCUAAUGGCAGUACGCAGGUGGGAUGCAAACAUCCAAGCAUGAAUCUGUGCCCACAGUCGCACAAACACUGAAGAAUGGUCAUACAAACAAACCCC